CCCUUGGUGGCUUAGAGGGUAAAGCGUCUGCCUGUAAUGCGGGAGACCCGGGUUCAACCCCUGAGUCGGGA
rnacentral:tRNA from 1 species